UGUCGAGAUGCCCCGUUAUGAAACGGAGCGACCGAUUGACAUGAUUUUAAUUUUUUCUAUAUUCAAUAAAAUAGGAUAGAUAUAUGAACUACGCGGAGAGAAAUAUAGAACCGAGUUUGAGCAAUCUUUUAAUUCAUAUUCGUUGAUGUUCACAAGUUGUUGUUGAGAGUCGAGAGCUCAUGUAGUCGUUAUCUAAGAGACCUCCUAGCUGCAGCGCCCACAAGGGGGCGUUAUCGCCCACUUUGGGAAACACUGCUUUAUAUUUUGUAGAUUGGGAAGAAUCGUUGAACGCGUUUGAAUUAGCGAGGAUGAAACCGAUUGUUCGUCAUCAGCCAUGUUAGGCGCAGUGGCUUGACCGUUGCGCAUUUGAAGACACGAAAUCAAAUAUAUAUGUAUAUACGAGUACCUGCAGUGAAGAAUGUGAUGCUGUUGUUAUAGAUGUAUCAAAAGCAGAUUAGCAAUCCGAUGAAACUGUACUGUAAAUAGUCCCGUAUCCUUGCACGGAGACUGAGACGAGUUGACGUACUGUCGGUAACUUCGACGGAUGUUGAUGAGAAGAUCUGUAACGUACGCUAAUAAAAACACGUGUAAUAUUUAUGUAUGAUUACAGCCAGAAUUGCUAUUUGCGCUUGCCCGGGUACAAUAAUCUAAUUAUCCGUUAAUUCAAGUUGUUGGAUACCGUUACACAGCUUAUUGAUGAGAUGAUGUGGACAAAUUCCAUGUGAUUAAACAAACUCAGAGCCAUCUCUUGCCAGAAUUACACAAAAAUAAUUACUUAAAUUAACUUUGGCAUUAAUCUAUUGGCUUUUCUUGAUCGAAAAAUUUAAUACAGAACAUACAUACAUAUGUCCUGUCGCGGUCGCCAAAUUAUAGAGGAGCCCAAUAACAGAUUAAUGUCCGGUUAAUAAUUUAGUUUUAUUUAAUUUGGGUUUUAAUUAAUUUAAUAAUGUCUUAAUACUUUAUUAUGCUAGCACCGGUUUUUUACCUUAUUGUGUCUAAUUUUCUCAUUAGCUAUGUAAGCUUAUGUGUAUAUUUUAUGAGGGCGUAGGUAUGAAAUACGUAUGUUUGUGCGUAUAUACUAUAUAUAAGUAUGUACCUGCUUGCAAAGUUCAAGCGAAAAUGAGCAUAUAUAAAAUCCGAUUAUGUACAUGGAUGUAAGAAUUGAUGAGCAUAUGCAUAAGCGGUACUCUCCCAAAGGAGAAUAUGCUAGUUCACGGUCAUCCGAUUUUGCACAGUAACAUGAUUCUGACCAAACACAUACCAUAUUCUCAAAUUCUUGUAGGGUUUACAUAGGCAGUGUAUAAAAAUAAUUUUAAUUACCUAAUUUGUAUACUUACCAAAUAUAUAUUUACAUAUUACAUACAUGACAUAGAUAAAAACCAUUAAAUUGUCAAACAUAAUAGAGGGAUUCUCUUCGCUUAAGAAAUGGUCGAGAAAAUUUCCUGCGUUCAAUUCUCUUGUGCUAGUAUGCAGCUCUAAAGAAAUCUAAAACUAAUUUUUAAUACAUUUUUUGAAUAAAAUGCGUUUCUUGAAGGAAAAUCAAAGUAAUCAUUAAAUUCAUCCUACACUUAGUUAAAAUCAAUAUUAUUAAAUAUAUGUAUAGGCUGUUCACGAUAAGGUGGUUAUCGGGUUAUGUGAUUAAGUAAACAACAACGAAAUGCCCUAUGACAAAAUAACCAACUUUGGCCAACCUAGGCCCUUGUUUACAGAUUAUGUGGUUGUUUGCUUGUUUUGCUUAUUUGGAAUUUAACUAAAUGGCAGCACAAAAAAUUAAUAAAACUAAGCGAAUUGCAUUUCCAUUUCUUAGAUUUUCUUAUUGGAACUGCUGUUUUUUGUUUACAAUCAGCACAUUAAAACCGGAAUAAAAAGCAUCAAUAAUCACCAAAAAUCAUCAAAUGUCUACAGAAAUACGAAAGCGCCGGCGAAAAAAGGACGUGAAAAAAUGGACGGAAGCCGAAAUUAAAACAGUGCUGUGCUAUAUGCAGGAACACCGAAACAUCGAGGCGAGUUUUCGACAAAUUAGUUAUAUAUUUUGAUUUAAUUACAUCUCCUUUAAUUUCAGAAACCAACAGCGAUAAUCUAUUAUAGUAAGUUGCUUGCAGUAACAAAUAUUUAAGCGACAUGGAAGAUUCUAAAAUGUAAGGUUCGGUAUUUAAAAAGCCAAAUGAAAUCGGCAGAACACUGGCUAAAUUCCACGGGCGCUGGAGUAGAGGAUGGCGAUGUAGAGCUGACAGUGAUGGAUAAAGUGCUUAAAAGUUGUCCGCAUUACAAACAAUUAGCGGACAUUUUUGCUACGGAGAGGGAAGCUGAGGUGGUGAUAAUGAGCUCCUCUGCAAUGGAACUCGACUCUGUGGAAAAUGUUGUGGAUAAUUUGGAAGACCUCGCAGGAAGAACAUGACAUUUCUGAAUUGGCAUCUGGCUCAUCUGCGGCCAGCCCGUUUGCAAAAAAAAUUAAGGCCAAACACCAACACACUGCCAUUGAUAAACUGGCUGCAUUAGAAUCUGAACGAAUGAGCUUCAGAGAAAAACAGCUUCAAUUUGAAAUUGAAAAAUUCAAUUGGAUGAAAGAAGCUGAAGCAAACAAAAAUGAAAAUGAAAAGAAAAAAAUUUAAUACGAUUUCCAACUCACAAAAAUGGAGUUGGAGCAAAAUGAAAAAAUGAGAAAAUUGGAAAUAUAAAUAAAAUAUAAAAAUAAUAAUUAUAAUAUAAUAUAAUAACCAAUAAACAAAUAAAUA